rnacentral:rRNA from 1 species
UACGGAGGAUGCAAGUGUUAUCCGGAAUCACUGGGCGUAAAGCGUCUGUAGGUGGUUUAAAAAAGUCUACUGUUAAAGCUUGAAGCUUAACUUCAAAAAUGCCGUAGAAACUUUUAAACUUGAGUAUGGUAGGGGUAGAGGGAAUUUCCAGUGGAGCGGUGAAAUGCGUAGAUCUUGGAAAGACCACCAAUGGCGAAGGCACUCUACUGGGCCAUAACUGACACUAAGAGACGAAAGCUAGGGGAGCAAAUGGG